GGAUGAGCCUCCAAGUAGUGCUGCAACUUGGGUUUGUGUCAACCUAAACCCGGUUGACCUUGUCAAGGUCCUUGGGUUGGGUUCAGGUUGGAAAAUAGCAGCCUGAAUUGAAUUCGAGUUGGGUUCGGGUUGAGAAAAUUCCGAUUGGGUCAGGUUGGGUUGGGAAUAAUUACAUGUAUUUGGUUGGGUCGGGUCAGGUUGGGCACCUCAGGUUGGAAUUCAGGUCUGUUGGUUGUGGGUUGGGUUUUCUUGAGGUUAGGUUGGGCUGGAGUUGACCGUCGACCCAACUUGCGACGAAUUCUCCCAUCUAUUGCGUCGACGCCUCAUUGAUCCUUCAUCAACGAAUCUCCGUACAGAGUCUACAGAUUGCCACAGACUAUCGGCUCGCUCCCAGCUUGCCUCACCCUCGAGUAGAGUGAGUUAAGGACCAGUCUCCUCUAACCUUAGGAAGUUCAUAUAGGUCCCUUUGAUGGUUAAUUGAGUGGCAUCUUUUCUCCAAUCUUAUUCUCCAUCGUCAGUCUUAUCUUAAAUCAUGCUCCCAUCAUGUUGCAUCUCAUCAGAUGAUUGAUGGCCCACCACUCUGCUUUAGAGCUCCAUGGACAGCUAGAUUGCUUUGGGGACUAGUACUUUACUCUUGUUUUCAUCAAGUGCAUGUGGGGAUGCUAAUCUGCAGUUAACUUCAUGGCUUUUGUAUGCCCCCUUCAUUGAUUGUCACUCUCAGGGAACUGUAAGUGUCAAACUCUCAAGAAGAGAGCCUGGUGCCCAGAGCUGAUGAUCUUUCUUGGGAAGGGAAGAGCCUUCCCAUGCAGGACAGCUGAUGGGGCACUAAGAGCCGCUAGAGAUUCUUGUCUGUUCGAAGAAAAUUGAUGGCUGCUAGCUCCAUCAUGUGUAUGGUUUGCUGAGCUACAGAAUUUCAUACAUGGUUGUUCUCGUAAUACUACCGUUGAUCUGACAUGCCCCAAUGCAGAUGAGGGAGCCCCAAAAGUUUCUUAGAUUGGAAAGUGUUCCUAAAGGCCUUGCAUCAAGCCCAGCAUCUGACUAAUGUAUAGACAUGUUCUUGACGUGAACAAGCCAGACUCAUGUUGAAAAUGAAUGGCUUCUCAUACAGGCAACAAAUCACUGAUUUGAGUGAGGUGCCGUUCCCAGUAAAUGACAAUCCUUUGAUAUCUUGAGUGUGAUGAUGGACGGAAAUGCUUGAACAAGACGCAUAAAAACAUCAUGAGUAUGUUUGGUACUCACCUGCAUCACUGCAACAUGUGUAAAUGAUGCCUAAACGUUGCAUGCCUGCAAAUGCACUGUUUAAAGUUGUUGUAAUCAUGCAAUUUAGCUGUUUGGAUGGCCAGGAUUAUCUGGUGGGUGUGAUAUUUGCACUGUCA